rnacentral:rRNA from 1 species
AGUGAACGCUGGCGGUAGGCCUAACACAUGCAAGUCGAACGGCAGCACAGUAAGAGCUUGCUCUUACGGGUGGCGAGUGGCGGACGGGUGAGGAAUUCAUCGGAAUCUACUUUUUCGUGGGGGAUAACGUAGGGAAACUUACGCUAAUACCGCAUACGACCUACGGGUGAAAGCAGGGGAUCUUCGGACCUUGCGCGAUUGAAUGAGCCGAUGUCGGAUUAGCUAGUUGGCGGGGUAAAGGCCCACCAAGGCGACGAUCCGUAGCUGGUCUGAGAGGAUGAUCAGCCACACUGGAACUGAGACACGGUCCAGACUCCUACGGGAGGCAGCAGUGGGGAAUAUUGGACAAUGGGCGCAAGCCUGAUCCAGCCAUACCGCGUGGGUGGAGAAGGCCUUCGGGUUGUAAAGCCCUUUUGUUGGGAAAGAAAAGCAGCAGGUUAAUACCCCGCUGUUCUGACGGUACCCAAAGAAUAAGCACCGGCUAACUUCGUG